rnacentral:lncRNA from 1 species
GGGCUCCGCCUGGGCUCUCUGUCUGCACCAGUGCCCACUUCUGGGUUUUCAGACUGCACUGAAUCCAGACCAGGUGAUUCUGGAGGGGGGAAAAAUGGUAACUCACCACCAGUUCAGUGGUACUUGAGUUCUGUCUUCUUUACCAAUUUGCUGGCUACCCUUUGCUUUUCAGGGUCUUUAAGUAGCUAUUUCAUACAUUCUUGUAUAGGUUUUAUAGCAACAUUCACCGGGAAUCAGGGUGGAGUGUGCUUACUCCAUCUUGCCCUGAACUAGAACCCAAUGUGUUUUAUUUUAUGCAUUUAAAACAUAACUCUGGCAAAAGAUCCAUAGACUUCAUCAGCUGCCUAGGAUAGUCCAUGGCACAGAAAGAAUGCUUAGCCAAAAGUAAGGAAGAGACAUAUCGACAAUUACUUGCAAACCAGUACAUGCUCAGGAGAAGUAGCAAGGAUCUUUGGAAGCUCUUGAAGAGAGCUUGAAGAACACCUAGGCUAGUUUGGGUUUGGGAAGGCUUCCCAGUGAGCAGGGGAGGAAAAGUGUUCUCAGCAGGCAGAAAGUCAGGCUCACAAGCCAGAGCAUAGAAAAUGUGAGUCAUGGUCUGGGUGUGGUGGCUCGCCCCUGUAAUCCCAGCACUUUGGGAGGUCAAGGUGGGCAAAACACCUGAGGUCAGGAGUUCAAGACCAGCCUGGCCAACAUGGUAAAAACCCGUUCCUACUAAAAAUAAAAAAAAAUUAGCUGGGCAUGGUGGUACAUACCUGUAAUCCCAGCUACUCAGGAGGCUGAGGUACAAGAAUCGCUUGAACCCAGGAGGCAGAAUAGCCUGGGUGGCAGAGUGAGACUGCAUCUCAAAAACAAAAAAAAAAAAAAAAGGAAAAGAAAAAAGAAAGUGUGGGUCAUUGCAAGAAGUUCAGAAUGGCCAGAAUGUGAAUUUCUAUGGGUUCUUGAGGCCAUGUAAAGAAGAGAAUCACACUGUUCUAUCAGAUAGCAUUGGUGAACUGUUACAUUCAAUGAAAUUCUAAAUGCACUGGAAGCUGUCAUCUUGAUGGUAUCCUUCAUCAGACCCAAUUCCAGACUUCCGUCUCAGUUCUAUACAUAGACUCUGCUAUGUAGGCAUUUAACAUGUGAAUAAGGAAUCCAUUCAUUUUGCAUGCUUGGCAACAAACUGUUGUGGGUACAUAUACCAUUGGAUAGUUAUUUUAAAUUGCUAUUUCAGAGAUCAAAAAUUCAAUGAGGAGACAAAGCAAAAUACCAAAAUGAAGAAUGCAAAAGAAUGGAAUAGCCAAAGGAAAAGAUGUUUAAUUCCACCUUUUUGUUAUUAUUAUAAACUAGAACACCUGCAAAUAACUGACAUAGUGCAUUUCUCUGUGCUUUUGAAAAAUUCAAAUUUGUCAGAGCUUAAGGCAGAGCACAAGAAUAAAAACAAUGAAAUGGAGAAAACAUGUUUAGAAAUAAAAAAGAAACUAAAUUCCCAAGAAGGUAAAUCCAGCAUGCUAUAAUACAAUUCAAAUCCCCAUAGAGAAACACACAGAGGCCUGUUGUGAAAAAUUCAGUGGUCUUGCCACAGAGACUAUGAGCUGAAACUGACCACAGGCAUAGAGCUCAUCUCUUCACCAUGAAAUAGAAGAAAAUAUAAAGACCAUGUAUCCACACCACUAUAGAAUUGCUUACAAAAAAAAAAAAAAAAA